rnacentral:lncRNA from 1 species
GGGGGCCUCAGGUUGCCCGAUGUCGAGUGAGUCAACAGCACCGCGCAUAACGUUAGAAAAAUUCAGCGUGAAAACAAAAAUAAUGCGCGAAAAUGUCCGGUCAAAGAAAGCACGAGAGUGGGACCAAAAAAGAAAAUUACAAGCUCUAAAACAUGAGAGCGUGUCAGAAUUACUAAAGAACACAACAAAUCCACAUCACAUGAUGUGCGGCCCACUCCCCCUGAACCUUGUUGGGGUGUGUAGUGUGGAUUGUUGCAAUGACGCCACUUAUUGUUUUAGACUAAUUCGAUCCAUUUUCAACUUUUUCUCAGCCUCGCCUGGCCGCUGGGAAAUAUUAAUGAAUGGGCUUGAGUCUAACGAGAAUAAAGGUAUUGAGACAGUGAAGGUACUUUCAUCCACGAGAUGGUCGGCACAUGCACGGGCUACAAAAGCUCUUCGUUUAAAUUUCAGAAAUAAUCACGGUACUUUAACGCAGAUAGCCGGAGAUGCCAGUCAGAAAUCUGGCGCGCGCGACGAGGUGAGAUCCCUGGCCAAAAACAUUGAUCGAUUUGAGACAGCAUUCCUAACCAUCAUAUGGGAUACUAUACUGCAAAGAUUUCAAACCACAAGCAUGGCCAAUCAUACAGUAGAUUUGGACCUAGUUACUGCUGUGGAAUUGCUUCACUCGCUAAUAGACUUUGCAAUCCAAAGCCAGAUAACUGUCAUUAUCGCAAGAGUACGACUCGACCUGUUAAGCGCACCACCCGAGCCGAUGACUCCAACGAACCUGACCAUGUCAUUGCGGGCGAGGACAAAUUUAGUGUGGAGACAUUCUUUGUGAUAAUAGACCAAAUGCAUUACAACAGAGGCAUGCAGUCUAUAAAGAAACAAAUACUUUGAAUUUCUUUCUCGACUUGAAAAACUCUCCCUCAGUGAAAUACGUGAACAAAGUGUCAGAUUGCAGACCAAAUACAACGCAGAUCUAGCGGGUGACUUUCCCGACGAACUAAUGCAGUUUGUGAAUUUCUCCCGAGUUGCUCUCACUGACCCAACUUUUAAUAUCACUGAUGUGAUGAUGGUGAGUCACAUGUUUGUUCUAUGUUAGGCCGUGGCUGCCAACACUCAACAUGGCUCCAUUAUUGCAAAAUAGUUUUUUAAAUAGCUUGUUUGUAUGUAAGCUAAUUCAAAUGCUUUCCACCCUGGAGAUGUUGUAUAUCUGACUGUCUGCCUU